ACUUAACUGAACCUUCGGGGAACGUUAAGGGCGUCGAGCGGCGGACGGGUGAGUAAUGCCUAGGAAAUUGCCCUGAUGUGGGGGAUAACCAUUGGAAACGAUGGCUAAUACCGCAUGAUGCCUACGGGCCAAAGAGGGGGACCUUCGGGCCUCUCGCGUCAGGAUAUGCCUAGGUGGGAUUAGCUAGUUGGUGAGGUAAUGGCUCACCAAGGCGACGAUCCCUAGCUGGUCUGAGAGGAUGAUCAGCCACACUGGAACUGAGACACGGUCCAGACUCCUACGGGAGGCAGCAGUGGGGAAUAUUGCACAAUGGGCGCAAGCCUGAUGCAGCCAUGCCGCGUGUGUGAAGAAGGCCUUCGGGUUGUAAAGCACUUUCAGUCGUGAGGAAGGUGGUAGUGUUAAUAGCACUAUCAUUUGACGUUAGCGACAGAAGAAGCACCGGCUAACUCCGUGCCAGCAGCCGCGGUAAUACGGAGGGUGCGAGCGUUAAUCGGAAUUACUGGGCGUAAAGCGCAUGCAGGUGGUUUGUUAAGUCAGAUGUGAAAGCCCGGGGCUCAACCUCGGAAUAGCAUUUGAAACUGGCAGACUAGAGUACUGUAGAGGGGGGUAGAAUUUCAGGUGUAGCGGUGAAAUGCGUAGAGAUCUGAAGGAAUACCGGUGGCGAAGGCGGCCCCCUGGACAGAUACUGACACUCAGAUGCGAAAGCGUGGGGAGCAAACAGGAUUAGAUACCCUGGUAGUCCACGCCGUAAACGAUGUCUACUUGGAGGUUGUGGCCUUGAGCCGUGGCUUUCGGAGCUAACGCGUUAAGUAGACCGCCUGGGGAGUACGGUCGCAAGAUUAAAACUCAAAUGAAUUGACGGGGGCCCGCACAAGCGGUGGAGCAUGUGGUUUAAUUCGAUGCA
rnacentral:rRNA from 1 species